CUCUUCUUGAAUUUUAUAUGAAGUAUAACCUGCCCAAUGAAUAAAUUUAAUGGCCGCGGUAUAUUGACCGUGCAAAGGUAGCAUAAUCAUUAGUCUUUUAAUUGGAGGCUGGAAUGAAUGGUUGGACGAGAUAAAUUCUGUCUUUAUUUAAUUUGUUUUGAAUUUAAUUAUUAAGUUAAAAAGCUUAAAUUUUUUUAUGGGACGAGAAGACCCUAUAGAGUUUGUAUAAAUUUUUAUUAUAUUUUGGUUUGUUAAGGUGUAAUUUUACAAGUUUAUUUUAUUGGGGUGAUGGAAAGAUAAUUGUAGCUCUUUCUUUAUUAUAAUUAAUAAUUAUUAUUUAUUUGAUCCAUUAUUAAUGAUUAUAAGACUAAAUUACCUUAGGGAUAACAGCGUAAUCUUUUUUGAGAGUUCUUAUCGACAAAAAGGGUUGCGACCUCGAUGUUGGAUUAAGAUGUAAUUUAAGUGUAGAAGCUUAAAAGUUAAGUCUGUUCGACUUUUAAAAUCUUACA
rnacentral:rRNA from 1 species